rnacentral:rRNA from 1 species
AUUGAACGCUAGCGGGAUGCUUUACACAUGCAAGUCGAACGAGUGGCGGACGGGUGAGUAAUAUAUCGGCACGUGUCCAGUAGCGGGGGAUAACUACUCGAAAGAGUGGCUAAUACAGCAUACUAUUGGAGCGGCCGAUAUCGGAUUAGCUAGUUGGUGGGGUAAAGGCUCACCCAGGCAACGAUCCGUAGCCGGUUUGAGCGGACGACCAGCCACUCUGGGACUGAGACACGGCCCAGACUCCGACGGGAGGCAGCAUUGGGGAAUUUUGGACAAGGGGGAAAACCCUGAUCCAGCCAUCCCGCGUGUAUGAGAAGGCCUUCGGGUUGUAAAGUACUUUUGGCAGAGAAGCGGUAUCUGCAGAAUAAGCACCGGCUAACUACGUGCCAGCCGCCGCGGUAAUUC